rnacentral:tRNA from 1 species
CUAGUGUUAGUGUAAAGGCACAUUAAGCUUUCUACUUAAAAGAGAUCUAAAGAUCACAUUAGA